rnacentral:rRNA from 1 species
CCUACGGGUGGCAGCAGUAGGGAAUCUUCCACAAUGGGCGAAAGCCUGAUGGAGCAACGCCGCGUGGGUGAAGAAGGUCUUCGGAUCGUAAAACCCUGUUGUUAGAGAAGAAAGUGCGUGCGAGUAACCGUUCACGUGUCGACGGUAUCUAACCAGAUAGCCUCGGCGAAAUACGUGCCAGCAGCCGCGGCAAUACGUAGGUGGCAAGCGUUAUCCGGAUUUAUUGGGCGUAAAGGGAGCGCAGGCGGUCUUUUAAGUCUGAUGUGAAAGCCUUCGGCUUAACCGGAGAAGUGCAUUGGAAACUGGGAGACUUGAGUGCAGGAGAGGGGAGUGGAACUCGAUGUGUAGCGGUGAAAUGCGUAGAUAUAAGGAAGAACACCAGUGGCGAAGGCGGCACACUGGACUGUAACUGACGCUGAGGUUCGAAAGCGUGGGUAGCAAACAGGAUUAGAUACCCGAGUAGUC